AUUGAACGCUAGCGGGAUGCCUUACACAUGCAAGUCGAACGGAGUGGCGAACGGGUGAGUAAUGUAUCGGAACGUGCCCAGUAGCGGGGGAUAACUACGCGAAAGCGUAGCUAAUACCGCAUACUAUUGGAGCGGCCGAUAUCGGAUUAGCUAGUUGGUGGGGUAACGGCUCACCAAGGCGACGAUCCUGAGCUGGUUUGAGAGGACGAACAGCCACACUGGAACUGAGACACGGGCCAGAAUCCUACGGAAGGCAGCAUCGGGGAAGUUUGGACAAUGGGGGAAACCCUGAGCCAGCCAUCCCGCGUGAGCGAUGAAGGCCUUCGGGUUGUAGAGCACUUUUGGCAGGAAAGCGGUACCUGCAGAAUAAGCACCGGCUAACUACGUGCCAGCAGACGCGGUAAUAC
rnacentral:rRNA from 1 species